GACGAACGCUGGCGGCGUGCUUAACACAUGCAAGUCACGGGGGCCCGCAAGGGUAACCGGCGAACGGGUGCGUAACACGUGAGCAAUCUGCCGUACACUGGGGGAUAGCCGGCCCAACGGCCGGGUAAUACCGCAUACGUUCUUCGGGCGGCAUCGCUUGAAGAAGAAACCUCCGGGGGUGUACGAGGAGCUCGCGGCCUAUCAGGUAGUUGGUGGGGUCACGGCCUACCAAGCCAUUGACGGGUAGCUGGUCUGAGAGGAUGGCCAGCCACAUUGGGACUGAGAUACGGCCCAGACUCCUACGGGAGGCAGCAGUGGGGAAUAUUCCGCAAUGGCCGCAAGGCUGACGCAGCGACGCCGCGUGGGGGAUGAAGCAUUUCGGUGUGUAAACCCCUGUUGCUCGGGACGAACAACGAGUUUCGACUCGUCUGACGGCACCGGGUGAGGAAGCACCGGCUAACUCCGUGCCAGCCGCCGCCGUAACAC
rnacentral:rRNA from 1 species